CACGGUUUUCGCGUCAAAGUCAAACGUGAUGCAACGACUUUAAGACCAACGCUGGUGAAACUGCUCAACCUAGACGACUUUACGUACAGGAAAUAGUAGGGCAUUGUGUCUCUAUCCGCAGACUACACCACAAAUAUGUAUCCUACAUAGGGGUGCAGGGAGCCUGGAGGCUCGAGGUAGGACGAGGUGCCAAUCUAUCUCAGACACACUCAGACAUUAUGGACAAUUUAGAGAUGCCAAUCAGCCAGACGUCUUUGGACUCCAGGAGGAAACCCCUGACUCCACACACAGGGUGAAAUCAAACCCCCAACCCUGGAGUUCCAAACAAAUUAAAACUGGAUUUCAAAAACCAGUUUUGAGGGACUAUUAAUCAUCCACCUACAUCCCAUCUCUGGUUUCUGGCAGUGCUUCAGGAGAAACACUAAACAGUACACACAAGCAGAGAAUAAAGGUUUGUAUAUCUGCUUAUUUAAAAAUUUGCAUUACAAAAUGCACUCAUUUGGCUUAUGCUUUUAUGCAAAGCAACUACCAGCUUAGUCAGUGGUUAGUGGAGGUUUAUAGAGCUAAAAAUUAAUUAGGAAUUUGAUACAAUACAUUCCAUAACAAUGUUUUGGCAGAUGUGAUUACUCUCUAUACAGGUUUUCUCACUUAACUUACCAAUAUUCAGUUCAUUUGCUAAGUAGGUUUAAGGUCAAAUGAAAAAGUUACAUGACGCAACAUGUUAAAUUUAGGGUUUGGCUUCCUGUGAUGCAAUAAAAUGGUAAGCUCUGCUGUUUGUAGCCCUAACAAAACAAGUUACGUAGAUUUGAGUGAAUCUAUUCAAGUCUUUGUAGGUUAUCUGCUUUCUUUUUUCGUUUCUUUUCAAUUAAUUCUGUAGUUUUUGCCAUUUUCUAUUUUCUUUGUUGAACAAAAUGCCUGCGUGAAGCUCAGUUAAUUGUAAUAGGCAAUUUUUGUGUUCACUUUUAUGAAAUGUCUCCAUCUGUUGUAUACAAGUGGUACAUUUCAUUUACAGAAAAAAAUACCACAAUGCAAGCUAAUAAAGUAAAUUACAACACUUUGACACUUUGUAAAUUAAUCAGUUUGCUAUUUUCCUGGAUUUAGAUUCAAAUGUGAAUUGUUUAGUACCAGGACACUUAAACCGGACGGUCUAAGACUUUUUAUUGAGUGUGUGUGUGUGUGUGUGUGUGUGUGUGUGUGUGUGUGUGUGUGCA